ACGUAGUUGGCCGGGGCUUCUUCUGCAGGUACCGUCAUUUUCGUCCCUGCUGAAAGGGGUUUACAACCCGAAGGCCGUCAUCCCCCACGCGGCGUUGCUGCGUCAGGCUUUCGCCCAUUGCGCAAGAUUCCCU
rnacentral:rRNA from 1 species